rnacentral:rRNA from 1 species
CCUACGGGUGGCAGCAGUGGGGAAUAUUGCGCAAUGGGCGAAAGCCUGACGCAGCGACGCCGCGUGAGGGAUGAAGGUCUUCGGAUCGUAAACCUCUGUCAGCAGGGAAGAACGGUCACUGUGCUAAUCAGCAGUGAAUUGACGGUACCUGCAAAGGAAGCACCGGCUAACUCCGUGCCAGCAGCCGCGGUAAUACGGAGGGUGCGAGCGUUAAUCGGAAUUACUGGGCGUAAAGCGCUCGUAGUCGGUAUGUCAAGUCAAGGGUGAAAUCCCCGCGCUCAACGUGGGAACUGCCUUUGAAACUGGCAAACUGGAGUGUGUGAGAGGAUAGUGGAAUUCCAGGUGUAGGAGUGAAAUGCGUAGAUAUCUGGAGGAACAUCAGUGGCGAAGGCGACUAUCUGGCACAUAACUGACGCUGAGGAGCGAAAGCGUGGGUAGCAAACAGGAUUAGAUACCCUGGUAGUC